rnacentral:lncRNA from 1 species
AAAAUUACAUUAAUAUAAACAAUUAGAAUGAUAUGUAUAAUGGCAAAUGAUAUAAAGUGCUAAAAGUAAAUUGUAUUAAAGUAAAAGCUUGAAAGUAAAAGUUAAUAGUUAGUAAGUUAGUAGUUAGUUUUGUUUUGCUUUUGAUUUCAAGACAUUCUUUGGAGAACACUCAACCCACUUGCCACAAACAUGAAUCCUGGAACCAAAACAUCUUCCAAAAAG